rnacentral:rRNA from 1 species
AUUCUGACUGUGCGAAGGUAGCAUAAUAAAUUGUCUUUUAAAUGGAGGCUUGAAUGAAAGGUUGGACAAAGUGUCAUCUGUUUCUUAAAUAUUUAUUGAAUUUGACUUUCAAGUGAAAAGGCUUGAAUAAAUUAAAAAGACGAUAAGACCCUAUAAAUCUUUACAAUAAACAUGUUUUAUAUUUUAAUUUAUAAGUUUAUAAAAUAUUAAAUUUGUAGUUGUUCCGCUGGGGCGGCGUGGAUAUAUAAAUAAACUGUCUAUAURUUAAACUCAAUAAUCAUUGAUUAAUAAGAUUGAUCCUUAAAUAGAUUAAAAGAUUAAGAUACUUUAGGGAUAACAGCGUUAUUUUUUUUGAGAGUUCCU